GGCAGAAACUGGCCUACAAAGGGUUAAUUCGUUAGCAGGGAAACCAUGCAUCAAAAAGUUUGUCUUAUGUUCUAAAUCUAGAACCCUCAACAAACAAAGGCUCACAGACACUGCCACUUGUCAACAGCUAAAGAGAAAUAAGAAAGAACUUCUGAGGGGGGAGCAUUCAUAAAGAGCAAGAACAUACUUACUGAGGUACUAAAAGCAUGAACUCUAAAAUUACGGACAUCUUAGGUUAGGGAUCAGUUCUACCACUGACUACCUAUGUGGCUUUGGGCAAGCUCCUUCAUCUUUCUAAGCCUCGGUCCUAUCUCCUGGAAUACAGGCAUAAUAAGAGUACUUACCCCCACAGAACUGUUGUGAAGAUUUAAAAUACAAUAUAUGCAAGACACAGUGCCUGGAAUACAGACAAUAUUCAAUGUUGGCUCUUAUCCUUCUCAAAGCACAUCAAGUUUGCUUUUCCUUUACUGAUUACAAAGACCUCAGAAAAUCAAAGUCUGGAUUCUAUUGCAAACAAAAGAGAAACAAAGGAUAUUAACUUCAGAUUGGAUAACAGAAAACAUCUGGCCUGUCAGUGAAGUUCAUUUUCUUUCUAUAAUAAUGCUGUCCAUCCUAAGGGUAGUUCAGCUUUGUAGAGAUAUAAGUCCCCACUGAUUAUCAAUACCAACCCUGACUGUGUGACAAGUAUUAAAAUACUACCAGAACCAAAAGGUGUACAUGGAAGACUAAUGAAGGGCAAAACUCAAAUCUACCCAUUAAACAUAAUGAGAACUUAAGGGAAAAUCUGAACAAAGCCUUAUGAACAAAUAAAAUACAAACAGACAAUGAAAAAAAGAAUUGAAACGAAUCCCCAGGUCAAAACACUGACAUUUCCACCAUUCAGCAGACUCAGGUCAGCAAACAUCUAUUAAGCAAUUCACUGCUCUCAAGACCGUCCAAUUCGGGUACAGGAGCCAAGAUAAACCAACAAGUAACCAUGAUAAAAGACAGAAUGAGAUGAGUGCUGGAAAAAUUCCAUAGGUGCCUGAGAGAGGCGGUAGCACACUUCCUGCAGGGACAAGGGUAAACAACAGAGCUAUAGUGGGAAUGAUUUUCAGGUAUGAGUGUAAAUAACAUGGCCACAAAUUAAGAUCCAUUCACCUAGCAAGUCUGAAGUAAUGAAAAUACGUUUUAAUAAGCUGCAUGCACACAUUUUAUACUGUCUAUUGAGAGUCUAUUUUAGGAGAUAUAUUAUGUUAUAUGCUAUAAGGGAACACAGUAACAUUUCUGACAUCUCCUAAGCUUUACGAUCCAGCUGGGGAGCAAAUUAUGCAUAUUGUAUUGUGAAUUCCCUGAGGGCAACUGAUGUGUCUUUUUUAUCUUUCUACCCCCAUCCUCUUGCGCAAUGCCUGCAACAUCAUUGGCACUAAAUAAUGUCUGGCAAAUGAGUAAAUAAAUAAGUGACUAUAAUAUAAAACAGAAUAUUAUAUGUGUCACUGAUAAUCCCUAUUAGAGAAGUUGAAGAGAGGAACACAAAGUCAGCAAGGAAGCGGCACUAUUUCUGUCACCUAGCAUUCACUCCCCAUAUUCCUCUGAAAAUCAGCCCUUCCUGUCUCUGUGCUCCCUUGGAAUGAACUUCCAGGGAUGGCAUGCGAGCUAAGCCAAGCAAAUAGAAAUACUGCAUUCCCCUGGUUACAGCAAUUGGUUCAACAGUGCAUACCUGACCCAAGCCAUGCCCAUGAAAUACAAUUACCGCUAAUCUUGGGAAUCAUGCUUAAGCAACAACAAAAAAAAUAAGUUAUUUUUCCUAUUGAACUUGGAGCUGAGAGGAUGAAAACCUAGAACUUCUGGCCACUGUCUUGCCACCGUAAGAACAAAGGCUGGGGGAGAAUCCGAAGGAACUCAUGGAACGAAAGCCUAGCAAUGGGGGAAGACCAGAUCCUAAAAACACUGUUUGAGCCCCUGGCCUUAGCAAUGUUAAAAGGAGGCGUUUUUCAGUUAAUAGCCAACAAAUUCCCUUUUUGCUUCAUUCACUGUGGGCUGGAUUUCUCUGUCAAGUGAAACUGUUUUCAUGCAAAGACUGAAUUAGAUUUCACUACUAAAAACCAUGGUGGGUUUUUAAAUAGAGAAGGAAUUCAGGUGAAAAAAACAACAGGUGAAGUAGGAAAACAGAAGACUACCUCUGUUAUAAUGAUUAAUGUAUGUUUAGCUCAAGUUUAAGUUCAGGUUAAGACUGAACAGAAUAGGUUAGGAUUAGCUAAGCAGGCUGAAUAUAGCCAAUUGCAUGGCUCACACUUCACCAAAAGGAGUGGCUGCUACCUAGCUCAAGCAAGUUAUCGCCAUGUGGGAACUGGUCCGGCAAUAGCCACAACUCCCAAUUUUCAACAAAAAGCUAAAUCUAGACUUUACAAGUACUGGCAAGACUUAACAGCAAAAGAAUGAAUUUACAGCCAUGUACAGAACAAACAAGCAAGUCUGUAGGGCAGGAUCCUGCAGUUAGGUUUGUGACUCAGGUUACUCAAAUGGCCAAGAAAGUAAAAUCAAGUCCGUACAAAAGGUAUGUGGACCCAAGUAACGGUUUCCUAAACAACACAAAUGUGUGCAUCUUCUAAGGAACACUAUAUGACAAGAGAAAGAACGGAGAAUUGUGGACAUACAGAAAAAGCGAUGGAAUGACUAGCUACAAUGCUGAGCUCCUAGGGCUGAAGAGCAGAUAGAGUCUGUGCUCUUAAGUCAGGCUGCCCAAGUUGCUGUUCAGGUUCUGCUACUUUGCUGUUCUGUGACUCCUGUGACCAAGUGUCCUCAAGUAUAAAUACUGCUAAAAACGGUGCCAAGCUCACAGAGCUGCUGUGAGGAGGAAAUGAGUUCAUACUUACUGUGGCUAGCAGAAUUUUAAGAUGGCCCCAAACUUCCUGCACGCAUGGAGUACACACUCUAUGAAUAAGUGAGUGCUGUUCUAAGCCACUAAGAUCACACAUUCAUCCCUCAGUAUUGAUUCUAGCACCCCUGUGGAUACCAAAAUCCACAGAUGCUCAAGUCCCUUAGAGUACAUGGCAUACUACAUGCACAUAACCUGUGCCUAUCCUCCUGUAUACUUUAAUCAUCUACAGAUUAUUUAUAAUACCUAAUAUAAAUAUUAUAUAAAUUUGUUUUUACACUUUUUUAUUUUAUAUUAUUUUUUAUUGUACUGUUAUUUUCAUUUCAAACAUUUUUUAUCUGUGGUGACCGAAUCUAUGGAUGAAGAACCCAAAGAUUACUCUAGUAAUUUAUUAUACAGCAACAGAAAAGUGUGUACAGUGAUAAAUUACCUAGAACACAGCUUGACAUAUAGGAAGACCUCAAUAAAUAUAAGCUAUUAUUGUUGUACUCUAUUUAAGUAUAUAUUCAGGUAAAUUUAAAAUAGCAUUCUAAUCACAAAACUUCAGUUUGUCUAUCUCAUAUUUGCUGGCACAGAAGAUGCACAGGCAUACAGAUGCAUCCCAGUGAUGCAAACUAGGGCAGGCAAUGUAUUAAAAAAGACUUUCUAUAACACAUGCGUUGAGAGUGAUCUUAAAGUGAUUUUGUAGAAAGAAACUAAUUAUUAUAUUCAUAUACUUUAUACAGGAAUCCAGUUGGAAAUAAGUUCAGGAUACUGAAUGAUAGCGUACUAACCUAAAAACAAAAUAUAACAUCAGGAAGUUAUUUGUAAUGCAUAUUGGAUAAAGAAAUACUUAGCAGAGAACAAAGCAUAAUAAUUUUACUGGUAAAUGAAAUUACAAUUUUAUGUAUAUGAUAGUAUUAAAUAAAGGUACUAUAUUUCAGAUGCUGGUAACUAAGAAGACAAGGCAUAACACAAAAUAUGUGUUAUGGAUGAACUCCCAUAAAGCACAUGUGCAAAACAAGUAGUAAAAGUCUGUAUAAAGCAGGCAGCAAAAUAUCAUGAAUUUGAAGACAUUCCCAUUGGCGUGGCCAUAAUACAUAUAGAAAUUUCUUUCAGUUUAAAACACUAGCUCACAUCAUAGUGCAAAAACAAACACGAAAGACUUUCAACGUAAUGUGUACAUAUGCCACAAAAGUACGUACUUCCCUGAACAUUAGCAAAUGACCAGCAACUGAAAACAUGAUAAAAAUAGACUUCAAUGAAUACAUAAGCAGGAAAAAAAAUAGACAGGAAAAUAGUAUCACAAAGAUUUUUACCUUUACCCUCAGAGCCAAGUAAACCACAGCCCAAAGCCUGAAACCCACCCACUAACACUGCUAGAGUUGGGAGUUUUCUCUUUCUCUCAAGCAUUUAUCACAUUAGCCACAGUCACCAUUAUCUUUAAAAUACCCGCCUGCAGCCUAAUCGCUGUAGAAAUCUUGACAUUAAGUUUGAACUUAAUGUUCUGUCAAUGCCUCUGUUGCUUUUCGAGCCACAGGCUACAAAUUAAUAACUUUAUAUCUGAAGAGGAAAAGCCCCAAGAUAAAUCUCUGUGGGUUGUGACUUGUUUUUAAAAACUACCAAUGAGACGUGAAACUUCCAUCUUUGUUGAAAUUUUUUAUGUAACUAGACUCCAUCACUAAGAGCAGCCUUGCUACAGCUCACUAGGAACGCUGACAUGUACCUGCUUGGUCUUACAUCCCUACAAUAGGCACAGAAGAUGGAAGCUAAGUUCUCACACAAUUACUUGGAAUAAGGAGCAUGUGUUACUUUGCAAAAAACAGUAACUAUUACCUAGUGUAAGUCACUUUUCCUGAGAUUGCCGUAAGCUUACAUGAGAAGGUGUCCUAAAUCUCUCAGACAUUGCUGAAUCCAAAAGGGAUCAGAGGACUGAUUUUGAGGAGCACAGACCUCAUUCAGUGAAACAAUAAUUAAAGAUUCUGUUUCACACUUUAUUCUAAAAUCUUACAAAAAGAUACAGAAGUGCCUCCAGAAAAAUGCUGCACUCCAACAGUUUCAUAGAAUUAUAGAAAAUCUCAUUUCAACACAAGCCUCAGCAUAGGAGCUUCCUUGUUAUCUUCAAUGUAACACAAAUCAUCCUCUUAACAUAAAAUAUUAGGGAUCGGCCGGGCGCAGUGGCUCACGCCUAUAAUCCCAGCACUUUGGGAGGCUGAGGCGGGUGGAUCACGAGGUCAAGAGAUCGAGACCAUCCUGGUCAACAUGGUGAAACCCCGUCUCUACUAAAAAUACAAAAAUUAGCUGGGCAUGGUGGCACACGUCUGUAGUCCCAGCUACUCGGGAGGCUGAGGCGGGAGAAUUGCCUGAACCCAGGAAGCAGAGGUUUCGGAGAGCCAAGAUCACGCCAUUGCACUCCAGCCUGGGUAACGAGAGCAAAACUCCGUCUCAAAAAAAAAAGAGGGAUAAAGUCAGACCAUGUCAAAUAAAUAAAUAAGGAUAAUAAAGGACAUACAGCUAUUUGAAAAAGAUUACUUGAAAUAACACAUAGGCUUCCAUAGUCAUGUUUAGAGAAAUAUUCUAACUAAAGUCAGACUUUUUAUUAAUUACCACAGAAUUCUUAAUUAUAAAAUCUAACAUGAAGGAAUAAAAAUCAUUUUAAGGGGCCGGACGCGGUGGCUCAAGCCUGUAAUCCCAGCACUUUGGGAGGCCGAGGCGGGUGGAUCACGAGGUCAAGAGAUCGAGACCAUCCUGGUCAACAUGGUGAAACCCCGUCUCUACUAAAAAUACAAAAAAUUAGCUGGGCAUAGUGACACGUGCCUGUAAUCCCAGCUACUCAGGAAGCUGAGGCAGGAGAAUUGUCUGAACCCAGGAGGCGGAGGUUGCGGUGAGCCGAGAUUGCGCCAUUGCACUCCAGCCUGGGUAACAAGAGCGAAACUCUGUCUCAAAAAAAAAAUAAUAAUUUUAAGGUUCCUUUCUUU